CGAAGGACCCGAGCGUUAUCCGGAUUUAUUGGGUUUAAAGGGUGCGUAGGCGGAUUAGUAAGUCAGUGGUGAAAGCCCGUCGCUUAACGGCGGAACUGCCAUUGAUACUGCUAGUCUUGAGUAUGGUUGAGGUGGGCGGAAUGUGUCAUGUAGCGGUGAAAUGCUUAGAUAUGACCCAGAACACCAAUUGCGAAGGCAGCUCGCUAAAGCCAUAACUGACGCUGAGGCACGAAAGCGUGGGGAGCAAACAGGAUUAGAUACCCUGGUAGUCCACGCCCUAAACUAUGAUCACUCGUUGUUGGCGAUACACAGUCAGCGACUAAGGGAAACCAUUAAGUGAUCCACCUGGAAGUACGACCGCAAGGUUG
rnacentral:rRNA from 1 species